GGGGAAUAUUGCGCAAUGGGCGAAAGCCUGACGCAGCGACGCCGCGUGAGGGAUGAAGGGCUUCGGUUCGUAAACCUCUGUCAGAAGGGAAGAAGUGUGACAGUGCUAAUCAGCUGUCAUUUGACGGUACCUUCAAAGGAAGCACCGGCUAACUCCGUGCCAGCAGCCGCGGUAAUACGGAGGGUGCAAGCGUUAAUCGGAAUCACUGGGCGUAAAGCGCAUGUAGGCUGUUUGAUAAGUCAGGGGUGAAAUCCCACGGCUCACCCGUGGAACUGCCUUUGAUACUGUCGGACUUGAGUCUGUGAGAGGAUAGUGGAAUUCCAGGUGUAGGGGUGAAAUCCGUAGAGAUCUGGAGGAACAUCAGUGGCGAAGGCGACUAUCUGGUGCAGUACUGACGCUGAGAUGCGAAAGCGUGGGGAUCAAAC
rnacentral:rRNA from 1 species